GACGAACGCUGGCGGCGUGCUUAACACAUGCAAGUCGAACGGAAAGGCCCUGCUUUUGUGGGGUGCUCGAGUGGCGAACGGGUGAGUAACACGUGAGUAACCUGCCCUUGACUUUGGGAUAACUUCAGGAAACUGGGGCUAAUACCGGAUAGGAGCUCCUGCUGCAUGGUGGGGGUUGGAAAGUUUCGGCGGUUGGGGAUGGACUCGCGGCUUAUCAGCUUGUUGGUGGGGUAGUGGCUUACCAAGGCUUUGACGGGUAGCCGGCCUGAGAGGGUGACCGGCCAAAUUGGGACUGGGGUACGGCCCGGACCCCUACGGGAGGAAGCGGUGGGGAAAAUUCGAAAAGGGGCGGAAGCCGGAUGGAGCAACCCCGGUGGGGGGAUGCCGGCCUUCGGGUUGUAACCCGCUUUCGCCUGUGACGAAGCGGGGGUGACGGAAAUGGGUAAAGAAGCACCGGCUAACUACGU
rnacentral:rRNA from 1 species